rnacentral:rRNA from 1 species
UACGUAGGGUGCGAGCGUUAAUCGGAAUUACUGGGCGUAAAGCGUGCGCAGGCGGUUCGUUAAGUUCGAUGUGAAAGCCCCGGGCUCAACCUGGGAAUGGCAUUGGAAACUGGCGGACUCGAGUGUGGCAGAGGGGGGUGGAAUUCCGCGUGUAGCAGUGGAAAUGCGUAGAUAUCAAGAGGAACACCAGGUGGCGAAGGCGACUCUCUGGUCUGAGUAACUGACGCUGAUGCGCGAAAGCCAGGGAGCG